CCUACGGGUGGCAGCAGUGAGGAAUAUUGGUCAAUGGACGAGAGUCUGAACCAGCCAAGUAGCGUGAAGGAUGACUGCCCUAUGGUUUGUAAACUUCUUUUAUAUGGGCAUAAAACGUUCCACGUGUGGGCUUUUGUAUGUACCAUAUGCAUAAGGAUCGGUUAACUCCGGGCCAGCAGCCGCGGUAAUACGGGGGAUGCGAGCGUUAUCCGGAUUUAUUGGGUUUAAAGGGUGCGUAGGGGGGCUUUUCAGUCAGCGGUAAACAUUCGGGGCUCAACCCCGUCCGGCCGGUGAAACUGGGGGCCUUGAGUGGGCGAGAAGAAGGCGGAAUGCGUGGUGUAGCGGUGAAAUGCAUAGAGAUCACGCAGAACCCCGAUGGCGAAGGCAGCCUUCCGGCGCCCUACUGACGCUGAGGCACGAAAGUGCGGGGAUCGAACAGGAUUAGAUACCCUUGUAGUC
rnacentral:rRNA from 1 species